rnacentral:rRNA from 1 species
AUACGGAGGAUCCGAGCGUUAUCCGGAUUUAUUGGGUUUAAAGGGUGCGCAGGCGGGAGAUUAAGUCGGCGGUGAAAUUUUGCAGCUCAACUGUAAAAGUGCCUUCGAAACUGGUUUCCUUGAGUGUAUAUGAAGUAGGCGGAAUUUGUGGUGUAGCGGUGAAAUGCAUAGAUAUCACGAGGAACUCCGAUUGCGCAGGCAGCUUACUAAACUACUACUGACGCUCAGGCACGAAGGCGUGGGGAUCAAACAGGAUUAGAUACCCUGGUAGUCCACGCAGUAAACGAUGAUUACUAGCUGUUUGCGAUACAAUGUAAGCGGCUGAGCGAAAGCGUUAAGUAAUCCACCUGGGGAGUACGUUCGCAAGAAUGAAACUCAAAGGAAUUGGCGGGG